rnacentral:rRNA from 1 species
GGUUAUAUUUUUAUUUAAUAUUAUACGAAUUAUUUUAAUUAGUUUAAUUAUUAUUAGUAUUAUUAGAAAUUAUUUUAUAUAUGUUUAUUACUGUGAAGGUUUUUAAUUAUAGAGUUAAUGAGAAUUAUUUGUUAGUACCUUUUGUAUCAGGGUAAAUUAAUUAAUUUAAUUAUAAUUUAUUAUCCCGAAUAAGAAAGUUCAAGUUUUGUAAUAUUAUAUUUGUGUCAAAAAAUUUUAUAAUACAUUAUUAGUAAUUAUAUGUUAUUCGUUUUUUAUAUAUCUGGUUAUUAAGUAAUAAAAUUUAAUUUUUCACUUUUUUAACAAGGUUUUAAUUAAUAAAUUUAAGAGUGUUAAUUUAUUAGGGAUAAUCUUGAUAAUGUUGUAUUAUUACACGUUUAUUUAAUUGAUUUAUUUACUUUUAAAUUUUGUAUUAAGUUUUUAUUAAAUUAAUUAAUUUUUAUAUGAUUUUUUUAUGUAUAUUUUUAUAUUUAAUUUUUAGGUUUAAUUUUGGUUCUUACAGAUAAUGAUUUAAUUAGUAUAAUGAAGAAUUAUAAAGAUAAUGAAUUCGACAAAAUUAUUUUCCAACUGUUUAUCAAAAACAUUUCUUUUUGGUUAUAUAAAAAGUAUCUUCUGCCCUAUGGUUUUAACUAAAUGGCUGCAGUAUUUUGACUGUGCAAAGGUAGCAUAGUAAUUAGUUUCUUAAUUGGGGGCUUGUAUGAAUGGAUGUAUGAGAAAUAUAUUUUAUUUCUUUAAAAAUUAGAAUUUAAAUUUAAAGUUAAAAUGCUUUAUUUGGUUAUUGGGACGAUAAGACCCUAUAGAACUUUAUAUAAAUUUAUAUUAUUAAAUUUAAUUAGUAUUAUUUUAUUUUAUAAAUUUAUUUUUUGCUGGGGUGGUAAUUAAAUAUAAACUUUAGUUUUUUGUAUCAUUUAUUUAUGAAAUUUAAGAUCCCUAAAUAGAGGAUAGUAAGAUUAAGUUACCUUAGGGAUAACAGCGUAAUUUUAAUGGGGAGUUCACAUCUAUAUUAUAUUUUGCGACCUCGAUGUUGAAUUAAGAAUAUUAUAAGAAGCAGUAUUCUUAUUGAUAAGUCUGUUCGACUUUUAAAUUCUUACAUGAUUUGAGUUCAAACCGGCGUAAGCCAGGUUGGUUUCUAUCUGAUAAAAAAUAUUAUAUUUAGUACGAAAGGACCAAUAUAAAUCACUUCUUGUGAAAUAUUAAAAAAU